rnacentral:lncRNA from 1 species
UGUUGCGGAUACCCAUUUGGCUGGAUGCAAUGUGUGAUAUGCUUGAAUAUUUGACCAGCGUGCUGGAUUUGCGAGUUUUAGGCUUGCAGUAUUGGGCGCGUGGACUUGUUUACAAAGUUUUGCAGCGCUGCGCUUGCACCGAAAUGGAUCUGCAGUGAGUGACAUCGGCGGGGCGUUCAACUAUUUCAACCAUAUGACUGACCUACCAUCAUGUGACUAUGCCACAGAUGGGCGGGCUCUGUGUUGUGUAUCUCCCCGGAUGCCCAGGAUUUGGGGAUUUGCGCGGCGGCGGUUGCGUUUGGUAGGUAUUUGCGCGGUGGCGGUGGCGAAUAAAAGGCAUUUCAUAAAGUAGGAUGCAUUGUAGCGCAGCCCCCUGCCUGGACUACAUGGGCCCUCGCAAAGCGAAGCCCUUGAGUGACCAAACAUGUUACCGUGUUAUUACCACCCUAACCUCUAGGAUUGCCGCGCAUGUAUCGAUCUUGCUUGUUGGUUAGUCGGGCAGGUGGAGGUUAGAGAGGCAGGGGGCGCGGCUUGGGGCCCUCUGCCACAAUGCUACAAAGGCUUGCCGGUGUUGCAAGCGGCUUGCGUCAACCAGCGGGUGUGUGGUAUCAGUGACAGAAGCAUAACUUCGCGCAUGGCUACGUACGUGCAACAAUGGAACGCUAAUGUUGUUGUUGUUAUUACAAGGUCGUGGGUGCGUUCCCCGUACCUGCAAACCACCCUAAUACGAGCCGAGGGCUCAAGGCCUGCCAAUUCGCCUAUAAGCACCAUCCUACCUCGCACUUCCAAGGAAACAAGUAAUGAAGGAUACUAACGACCAAAGGGAACGAUAGAGUUGCGGUGGGACCAUAUGCGUUCCAGCAUCCUUGCCAGGCGUUCAGGUUCCCACUUCAUAGCGUCCUUCAUAUGCUCGAAGCGUGGGAAACCCAUAUCAGAUCUGAUUUUGUUGUACACCGGACAGUCCAUCAAAAUGUGCUUCUCGUCCUCGAUAUGGCUAUCAGUGCCGCAGCAAGGGCAUACUCGCUCCUCCCUAGGUAUAUAACGCUAAUGUAACAACGAUUGCAUUUAUUUAACCAACUAUUUUAGGCGCAAGGUCUUAUUACACUCAAAUAACUAAAGUUGUACACCGUUUCACAGAUAGAUAUAGUCCAAAUACGUGUAGUUUAAUGAAGGCUGCGCUGUGUUUAAGUGUGCUAUAACUGUUCCAUAGAUUGCAUUUAGGCAUCCAUUUCUUAAACUUCUAAGAAGGACGGAAUGUCCCUUCCGAUUGAAUCUCGGCCUGCAAUCUCUUUGUCGCAUAUUGCUCUGGCGGGCUUGUUACGCUAAAGCAUAUGGAACUGAGCGGUCCUUCAUUGAAAGCUGUAUUAGCAAGUCACCUCUGCCUGUCGCUAUCACAACGCGGCAAUAAAA